rnacentral:rRNA from 1 species
AGUGAACGCUGGCGGUAGGCCUAACACAUGCAAGUCGAACGGCAGCACAGUAAGAGCUUGCUCUUACGGGUGGCGAGUGGCGGACGGGUGAGGAAUACAGCGGAAUCUACUUUUUCGUGGGGGAUAACGUAGGGAAACUUACGCUAAUACCGCAUACGACCUACGGGUGAAAGCAGGGGAUCUUCGGACCUUGGGCGAUUGAAUGAGCCGAUGUCGGAUUAGCUAGUUGGCGGGGUAAAGGCCCACCAAGGCGACGAUCCGUAGCUGGUCUGAGAGGAUGAUCAGCCACACUGGAACUGAGACACGGUCCAGACUCCUACGGGAGGCAGCAGUGGGGAAUAUUGGACAAUGGGCGCAAGCCUGAUCCAGCCAUACCGCGUGGGUGAAGAAGGCCUUCGGGUUGUAAAGCCCUUUUGUUGGGAAAGAAAAGCAGCAGGUUAAUACCCCGCUGUUCUGACGGUACCCAAAGAAUAAGCACCGGCUAACUUCGUG